rnacentral:tRNA from 1 species
GGGGUUGUGGCUCAGUGGUAGAGCAUUCCUCUAGCACAUGUGAAGUGUUGGGUUCAAUUCUCAGCACCACG